CCGUCCUUCAACGAGAUGCCCCGUAAAUCUACUGUAUGAUCAAUCAAAACACGUUUUGUCCAAAGUCCAAACUUAAUGGUGUGAUAUUGUGGCAUAUUUACCCUGGAGCUAGCAUAUAUAUGGAGCUGACUUUGUUCCUGGAGGAGCAGACACAGAGGAGGAAUCUGCUACCUCAAAGCAGUUGAUCGACACCGGGAGGGUGGGUACGUGAUGUCGGAGGCUGCCGGGAGGGUGGUGACGAGCUACCGAAGAGAUGAGUUCUGGCUCUCCUCGAUGCCAGGACGAGGCGCUGCUGCCGAUCGGACGUGGACUCGAUUGAUUUUGAUUUGAAAUAUGACGGGUUGUAAUGUAAAAUGCACUUCAGUUCAAAAUUUCCUCCCCUUGCGAGAGGUAUUCUUGGACGGAGGGAGUAGAAGAUUAGUUAUAGGAUUUUGUUUUAUUUCUGUGCAAUUUUCUUUUUAUUGGAUACUUGUAAAGACAUGGUAAUAUUCUUGCUAUAAUAAAAAUUAUGGUUCUAUUUC